rnacentral:lncRNA from 1 species
GCUAGCAGAAGAUCAGAAAAAGAUAGCAGACGAGAAAAAAACCCUGGAACUAACACAGAAACUCAUAAAUGGCUCCAACAACCUCAACUCUAACGAGCCUCAUAACAAUGUUAAAUUUCUGCAACAUUUAGCUCAGCAAUGCUCAGCUUUGACAAAAAAGCUCGCCACAAUCAGAGAUAAAAGGGAAAAGGCUCCAAUCGAAAGCCCCUCCACAUCUCCAUCUUUCAAGGCAGUGGACAGUUUCAUUUUCGAUCAGCAUAAAGAUUUGAUCCAGGAGACGAAGUUGAAUCUUGAACAGAAAAUGAAUGAACUAAUGCUGAAACUUGAAGAGAUUAAAGAGGCCCACUCAGUAAAAACGCCAGCAAAACAUUCAUAUGUCGACGAUGCUGGCACAAGAUUGGAGGUUAUUGAUGUCGGAAAUGAAAAGAAGCCUGUUGGUGACCUGGACUUGAAUAUCAAGAAUGACUCAAACGAGAAUGCUACACCUUUGGCAAUAAAUACAACAGAAAAUUAUCAGAAAUAUGAUAUCAUGGUUCCAGAUGACCUCUCACAAAACUGCUGUGACUCAGGACGACAAUCGCCGCUUCAAGCUCUCAAGGAUGAAAAUGAUAAUAAAAUCGAUGUCAAUUCUAGCAGAACUACUUUGUUUGAUAGACUGAACGUGGAACGUUACAUGGUUAAAAAACUCCAGGAAGAAAAUACAGAACUCAAGGCUCAGGCAUUACUCCAAAAUCAAAAAAUCAUAGACUUGACUCUCCAAACACGGGAACUAGAAUCCAGAUUAAGCAUGGCGAAUACUGUGAGAGUGGUUACAGUCAGCUCAGACCCGGCUCCUCAUGUUCCUGUCCCAACCUCAGCAGUUAACCCCUACUCACCCGUCGUUGCAACCACUGCUCCGUUUGCACUCACAAGACCCAGACGCCAAUGGUUCAACCGGCAUGUCGGCUCCGGUGAAGAAUCUAUGUUCUCCUCCACUGCAGCUACUGCUAACUCAGCAAGAUCUCGCCUUAGGGAACUCAGGAGGAAAUUGCCCCGCAGAAUUGUAGCUCCAAUUGUAGUUAGUCAAUCAUCCUCAACUGAGACCUCCAGCGGUCAGGACACCAUGGAAGAAACUAGAAAACGCCUGAAAAGAUUGGAAAAAGAAAAUUCUGCCGUUAAUCGUUUGUAUCAAGAUUAUCAGUCUAAGAAAGAACAGCACUUACACUCUGUUUAUCAGCCUGUGGAUACAGUUUUGACCAGUUCUCAGCCGGUGUACUGCUCAGAAUCUCAAAGAAAUUGCUCAACUCUCAUCACGAGCACUUUCUCUCCUUACACUUCAUUUCGGCCCAUUUGCUCUACGUUGAGACCCAUGAUCACGUCAGUUACGCCGCAGGCUUCAUUCUGUAAUCAAAGCACAACUGUCAUCAAUACACAAAAAUCUGCUUGUAGUGAUUUUCUGAACGAGCCAAGUCAAAAAUGUGCCAUUUUGGAUAAAAUUACUAAACAUGAACGUUCAGAUGUGUGUAAUUAUCUUGAGGGGCCUCAACAGUGUUCAAAUCGCAAAUUUCGUCAUUAUUACCGUGACUGGUUGGAAUGCCAUUUUCGCAAGUCUUGUCCAAGCCCAUCUGAAACAGAGACAUCCCACUCCAGGGUGUCACCGUUGAAACAGAUUUUUCAUCUAAAGCAAUACAAGUAUAAAAAAAGUACAAAGAAUAGAGCUGACCAUGAAACUGAGAAGGUAGACGAACACAACCCUAAUUCUUUGGAGGUUCUACAUUUGGCAGGAGCCAACGAUAAAACUCCUCAAGUAAUCAUCAUCGAGAAUAAAGAUGAUUCCAGUCAUGUUCCUCCGCCAAAUCUCAAUAAAAACGAUUCGUUAAUUUCUUCGUCUGAUCUUGAUGACUCUUUGAAUUUUGAGAGGUUGAUCCUUCAAAAUCAACAAAAUGUUGCUGCUUUGAGACAAAAGUUUGAACAAUUUUGUAAUUUUAAACAGCAGUACCAACUCUUCAGAUGGUGUUGCUGA